rnacentral:sRNA from 1 species
GAGAGCACAAAAUUUCUCUGUUAUUUUCAUCCUCUUGUAGUUCUACAAUUUGCUAACUAUUUUUCAAUUAUGUCUAAAAAUAUAUAUUUUGGAAAGGCUUAUGACGUGUUUGGCGUAUGUAUGAUGCGUCAGAAAUGAUCAUCCCGAACUGACUAUCGCCUGUACGAGAAAUUUAAGCGUAAGAACUUAGCACAUAAUUUGCGAAGUGAAACCAUUGGUAUACCAUUACAAUUUACACAAGGUAACCGUGAAGCAAUAUUUUUUCAACUGUGGAACACUUGUGCACAGCGUCGGUUUUAUGUAUAGGAACGAUGCAGCCUUCCCAGAGGCUGGUCAAGAAUCGCUAUCCCCAUUCCACAUGCAAGUGUGACAACAACAACAACACAGUACCUAAAUUUAUGUAUAAAUUUUAUGUCAAUAAAUUUAACCAAAUGUCUGCGGAUCUUUAAAAAUGUGGUGGUAUCCCAAAAUGCUUGACAUUAUGGGACUUAAAUAAAAUCGUGCUCUAGAAAGGCGCUGAUAUUAA